rnacentral:rRNA from 2 species
AAAUUGAAGAGUUUGAUCAUGGCUCAGAUUGAACGCUGGCGGCAGGCCUAACACAUGCAAGUCGAACGGUAGCACAGAGAGCUUGCUCUCGGGUGACGAGUGGCGGACGGGUGAGUAAUGUCUGGGAAACUGCCUGAUGGAGGGGGAUAACUACUGGAAACGGUGGCUAAUACCGCAUAACGUCGCAAGACCAAAGAGGGGGACCUUCGGGCCUCUUGCCAUCAGAUGU